rnacentral:tRNA from 1 species
GCCGGGGUGCCGGAACGGCCACGGGUGCGGCUGCAGACCGCAUUUAUGUGGGUUCAAAUCCCACCCCCGGCU